AGAGUUUGAUCCUGGCUCAGAUUGAACGCUGGCGGCAUGCCUUACACAUGCAAGUCGAACGGCAGCACGGGGGCAACCCUGGUGGCGAGUGGCGAACGGGUGAGUAAUACAUCGGAACGUGUCCUGUUGUGGGGGAUAACCCACCGAAAGGUGAGCUAAUACCGCAUGACCUGGAAACAGUAAAGCGGGGGACCGCAAGGCCUCGCGCGAUUGGAGCGGCCGAUGUCCGAUUAGCUAGUUGGUGAGGUAAAGGCUCACCAAGGCGACGAUCGGUAGCUGGUCUGAGAGGAUGAUCAGCCACACUGGGACUGAGACACGGCCCAGACUCCUACGGGAGGCAGCAGUGGGGAAUUUUGGACAAUGGGGGCAACCCUGAUCCAGCCAUGCCGCGUGAGUGAAGAAGGCCUUCGGGUUGUAAAGCUCUUUCGGUGGGAACGAAACGGUUACAGCUAACACCUGUGACUAAUGACGGUACUCACAGAAGAAGCACCGGCUAACUACGUGCCAGCAGCCGCGGUAAUACGUAGGGUGCGAGCGUUAAUCGGAAUUACUGGGCGUAAAGCGUGCGCA
rnacentral:rRNA from 1 species